rnacentral:rRNA from 1 species
AGCGUUGUUCGGAAUUACUGGGCGUAAAGGGUCUGUAGGUGGCUUGCUAAGUCAGACGUGAAAUCCCUCAGCUUAACUGGGGAACUGCGUCUGAGACUGGCGAGCUUGAGGGCAGGAGAGGAACGCGGAAUUCCAGGUGUAGCGGUGAAAUGCGUAGAUAUCUGGAGGAACACCGGUGGCGAAGGCGGCGUUCUGGACUGCAUCUGACACUGAAAGACGAAAGCCAGGGGAGCAAACGGG